GGAUUAGGCAUGCAAGUCGAACGAGGAUAUAUCCUUCGGGAUAUAAGCCGAGUGGCGCAAGGGUGAGUAAUGCAUAGAUUACCUACCUCCGGGAUAAGGACAACUUUGUGAAAACGAAGCUAAUACUUAAUAAUACAAAAGAAAAUAAUUUUCAUUUGUCAAAGGAAGGGUAGUAAUACCUUUUGCCAGGAGAGGGGUUUAUGUCCUAUCAGCUUGUUGGUGGGGUAAUGGCCUACCAAGGCGUAGACGGGUAGCCGGCCUUAGAGGGUGGUCGGCCACACUGGGACUGAGACACUGCCCAGACUUCUACGGAAGGCUGCAGUCGAGAAUCCUUCGCAAUGCCCGAAAGGGUGACGAAGCGACGCCGCGUGGGUGAGGAAGGCCUUCGGGUUGUAAAGCCCUGUCAGGAGUUAAGAAAUAUAAGUGCGCUAAUAUCGCAUUUAUUUGACGAAGGCUCCAAAGGAAGCCACGGCUAACUCUGUGCCAGCAGCCGCGGUAAUACAGAGGUGGCAAGCGUUGUUCGGAAUUAUUGGGCGUAAAGAGCACGUAGGUGGGUUUGUAAGUCAGAUGUGAAAGCCUUCUGUUCAACGGAAGAAUUGCAUCUGAAACUACAAGUCUUGAGUGUAGGAGGGGAGAAUGGAACUUCUGGUGGAGCGGUGAAAUGCGUAGAUAUCAGAAGGAACGCCGGCGGCGAAAGCGAUUCUCUGGCCUAUUACUGACACUCAGUGUGCGAAAGCUAGGGGAGCAAACGGGAUUAGAUACCCCGGUAGUCCUAGCUGUAAACGAUGGGCACUAAGUAGAGGGGUUUU
rnacentral:rRNA from 1 species